UACGGCAAAGAACGAGAGGGGAGUCAGGGGACGAAGACGAACCCAUCUUCACCAAGGUUUUUUUUUUUCUGGGCAAUCGGUUAUUAUGUGCCGAAGUCCAUACUGAUUUCGGGAUUGAGGGCAAGCAAUAUGAUUAAAAUUACACUUCUUUCCCAAAUUUUGAUCGAAUUCAGGACGGGAGAGGGAGAUAGGCUUUGCGUCCCCAUUUCAGCGGUUGAGGUUGGGUAAACUUCACCAAGGGUAGUGUUAUCGUCGUUCUAAUUCCGAAUUUCCAUGCCUUUCGCCUUGCGUUUUACUCCUCCGAUUACACUAUCUCACAAGAAAUUAUGCCAUUCCCACCAAGUUUUUGCUAGCGUCACUGGAACUCGAUUGAAAUCUCCUUGGGAUGCAAAAGCUAAGAUCUUUCACAUAUUUAGCCUACCCAGUCAAAAUUUUAGCCGAUUCCUUAUCCUCUAUGAUACAAAGGUCGAAUCUUUUCUGACGAAUUUCGGUGUAUCGAGUGUGAUACGUUAUGGGGAAACAAGGGAUAGUCAUUUGGGGAUGAUAAAUUUUGAUGGUGGCCCGGGUAAUGAUCCUAUGGAAAUGAUAGUGAAUGGAGUUCCACGAUCUCGUCUAGUCGUCUGUGGAAGGAUUGAACCAUGAUUUCUCCAAAAGGGGUUUGUUAUAAUUUCUUCCUUGAUCCUCUAAUGGUUUCAGGGUUUCACCUCAGACAGCAUCUGCGACAUAACACCACUUGGGAAGAGGUUUGAAUUGGAUCUUCUGUUUUCUGUUUGUGAUUUUAUCUUGUUGUUGUUGUUGUCAUUAGAAGAUUGAGUUUUUGAAGUGGAGAAAAACCAAUCUGUUCCUUUGGACAGUGGUUUCUAAAGAUUACUCAUAAAUAGAACAGAAAGAGCUUCAAGCUUAUACCGGACCGACAAGACCAUGUUCCUUUUCAACUCUGGUUCUUUCCGGACUUGGCUUCAAGAACGGAAACUUACAAUAUAUAUAUGGCGAGCUCUGAAAUUUAGGGAGGGAGGCCCCCCUUAUGCUUUCCCCAAGGAACUGAUCCGAUGAGCUUGCACCUUUCAAGAACUUCUCUUCUCAGCCUACAAUGUUCAAAAUCAUAGACGAGAGAACAUCUUCUGUUCGUCAGCCGAGAUGUCCCGAAUGCAUGUGUAAAUCCGG